ensembl:lncRNA
GUGUUUGUCUCUUCCUUCUAUCUCUUGGCCCCUUUCUCUCCUCCUCUGCUUAUGGCCCCAGGGGAGGGGGCCCAGGGGAGCUAAGGCUUGCCCUUCAACCCAGGUGUGCAAGAGUGUGGGCUGUUUCUGGCUGCCCUAUUCAUCUGGGCAGAGCCUGUCAGCAGCUGGCAUCUGUCUGCAACGCCUGUGAGAAUGUGGGAUCUAGUUCCCUGACCAGGGAUCGAACCCGGGCCACCUGCAUUGGGAGCAUGGAGUCUUAACCGCUGGACCACCAGGGCAGUGUCCUGCUUCACUUCUCUUGACUUUGAGCUUCAUGAGACAGGGAGGAUGUCUUGUGAUCCCUAGGCAAAAGAAAACCACCCCCUUGGAGGACUGUCUGUUGUCACACCCAGUAAGUGUAGAGCUGGGACUGUGUGAAGCCGGGCUGUGGGCCCCAGCCCUGCAGCAGCUACUCCACUGUCCAGGACCUGCCCUUGGGCCCCCCAGGGAGCACCAGGGUAGGGCUGGCAUUCCAGCCAGCCCCAGCUCUCAGCGCCCAUCGUGCCCAGCCCAGCGUGUUUACUCCACCCACUGGGGCCUGCUGCUGCUUAACCUACAAAUCCCUGUCCCCCCACCCCACCCCCAUGUCUCCUCUCUCCUCUCCGUCUCUGCGGAAUCUCCAAGCAUGGCCCAUCUGCUGUGUCGGGCACUGCUUCACCAUCUACUUUCUUUAAUCUUCCACAACGCUUGAGUAUUGGUGUGAAGGCUCAGAGAGGUUCGGAAACGUGCCCAAGAUCACACAGUCUGUGUGCAAGUGGUGGAACCCAGAUUCCAGUGUCUCCGUCUGUUUGAUUCCCAAGGCCAUUCUCCCUCUCUCUCCCUCUGCUCCCCUCCCUUGCAGAGGCUGGAGCUCCACAUCUGGCUCCCAAAUGACCCCCUGAGGAGGGAAGGCAAAGGCCUGGGGACCCAGUUUGCAGGGAAGCAGGGAGGGGAGGGGUGGGCAGAGAGACAGAACUGGCCUUCUUCCCUCCAAGUCGGCUCAGAGGCCCUGUCUAGGGUGCCCAGGCGCUGAGCUGCCCUCUUCUGUCCUCCUAGCUUCUUUUGGGAGGCAAUGUGCUUCUCAUUAGGCUGGUGUUGGGUUUUGCAAACCGCACGGUCUAAUUGUGAAGCGUUGGGGGUGUGAGUAAGUGUGCAUCUCGUGUGAGAAGAGCAGUCAGGCCUCUCCCACCUCUUGCAGAGGGGGGCUCCCAAAGCACUGGACACAGCUGUGCCCCAGCCCUCACGGAGUGCCAGCCCAGAGGGGCACGGAAGGGGCUUCCUAAGAGAAAGAAAACCUUUUGAGCAGGGGCCAAUGGGGGCGACACCAGGCCCACAGUCUUCAUCUGCAUCCACCGGGGGAUGGAAGAGACAACCAGCUCCAGGCUCCUCUAGUUACCUCCCCUCUGAUUAGGGCUCCCCAAGGUUAGGGCUGGGCGCCCUCAGGACAGUCUUCCAGCCCUGGGGCUCCCUCCUCAGCCUGUCCCCACACCCAGCAGGAGGGAAGCAAAGGGGCUGCACCCCCGCCCUGUUCCGCAAUGCUGGGUUCACAGUGGAGAAACUGGGUAAUGAGCAUGUAACUGAGUUAGGCCCACGGGAGCCUCCGAAGGCUCUGGUUUCCUCCCCACCCAGCGGGUCUGUCUGGGUGAUGGCAAAGGGGCCGUGGAUGCCGCCUCCUCAAAUGUUCCGAAAUCUUCUCUGUGAGUGUGAGCCAGGCCCCCC